rnacentral:misc_RNA from 1 species
GAUGAAGAACGUAGCGAAUUGCGAUAAGUAAUGUGAAUUGCAGAUUUUCAGUGAAUCAUCGAAUCUUUGAACGCACAUUGCGCCCCUUGGUAUUCCAUGGGGCAUGCCUGUUCGAGCGUCAUUUGUACCUUCAAGCUCUGCUUGGUGUUGGGUGUUUGUCUCGCCUCUGCGUGUAGACUCGCCUCAAAACAAUUGGCAGCCGGCGUAUUGAUUUCGGAGCGCAGUACAUCUCGCGCUUUGUACUCAUAACGACGACGUCCAAAAGUACAUUUUUACACUCUUGACCUCGGAUCAGGUAGGGAUACCCGCUGAACUUAAGCAUAUCAAUAAGCGGAGGA